GGUUAAGCGACUAAGCGUACACGGUGGAUGCCCUGGCAGUCAGAGGCGAUGAAGGGCGUGCUAAUCUGCGAUAAGCGCCGGUAAGGUGAUAUGAACCGUUAUAACCGGCGAUACCCGAAUGGGGAAACCCAGUGUGAUUCGUCACACUAUCAUUAACUGAAUCCAUAGGUUAAUGAGGCGAACCGGGGGAACUGAAACAUCUAAGUACCCCGAGGAAAAGAAAUCAACCGAGAUUCCCCCAGUAGCGGCGAGCGAACGGGGAGGAGCCCAGAGCCUGAAUCAGCAUGUGUGUUAGUGGAAGCGUCUGGAAAGGCGCGCGAUACAGGGUGACAGCCCCGUACACAAAAGCGCAUGUGCUGUGAGCUCGAUGAGUAGGGCGGGACACGUGGUAUCCUGUCUGAAUAUGGGGGGACCAUCCUCCAAGGCUAAAUACUCCUGACUGACCGAUAGUGAACCAGUACCGUGAGGGAAAGGCGAAAAGAACCCCGGCGAGGGGAGUGAAAAAGAACCUGAAACCGUGUACGUACAAGCAGUGGGAGCNNNNNNNNNNNNNNNNNNNNNNNGGCGUUAAGUUGCAGGGUAUAGACCCGAAACCCGGUGAUCUAGCCAUGGGCAGGUUGAAGGUUGGGUAACACUAACUGGAGGACCGAACCGACUAAUGUUGAAAAAUUAGCGGAUGACCUGUGGCUGGGGGUGAAAGGCCAAUCAAACCGGGAGAUAGCUGGUUCUCCCCGAAAGCUAUUUAGGUAGCGCCUCGUGAAUUCAUCUCCGGGGGUAGAGCACUGUUUCGGCUAGGGGGCCAUCCCGGCUUACCAACCCGAUGCAAACUGCGAAUACCGGAGAAUGUUAUCACGGGAGACACACGGCGGGUGCUAACGUCCGUCGUGAAGAGGGAAACAACCCAGACCGCCAGCUAAGGUCCCAAAGUCAUGGUUAAGUGGGAAACGAUGUGGGAAGGCCCAGACAGCCAGGAUGUUGGCUUAGAAGCAGCCAUCAUUUAAAGAAAGCGUAAUAGCUCACUGGUCGAGUCGGCCUGCGCGGAAGAUGUAACGGGGCUAAACCAUGCACCGAAGCUGCGGCAGCGAACGUAUCACCCAAGACAACUUUACGGAGUUGACGAUUGACGGAGCGAAGCGACGUCAAAGCGUUCAUUAAAGUCGAGUUGGCUUAGGGAUACGUUCGUUGGGUAGGGGAGCGUUCUGUAAGCCUGUGAAGGUGUGUCGUGAGGCAUGCUGGAGGUAUCAGAAGUGCGAAUGCUGACAUAAGUAACGAUAAAGCGGGUGAAAAGCCCGCUCGCCGGAAGACCAAGGGUUCCUGUCCAACGUUAAUCGGGGCAGGGUGAGUCGACCCCUAAGGCGAGGCCGAAAGGCGUAGUCGAUGGGAAACGGGUUAAUAUUCCCGUACUUGGUGUUACUGCGAAGGGGGGACGGAGAAGGCUAUGUUGGCCGGGCGACGGUUGUCCCGGUUUAAGCGUGUAGGUGUGUGUUCCAGGUAAAUCCGGUUCACUUUAACACUGAGGCGUGACGACGAGGCACUACGGUGCUGAAGCAACAAAUGCCCUGCUUCCAGGAAAAGCCUCUAAGCAUCAGGUAACACGAAAUCGUACCCCAAACCGACACAGGUGGUCAGGUAGAGAAUACCAAGGCGCUUGAGAGAACUCGGGUGAAGGAACUAGGCAAAAUGGUGCCGUAACUUCGGGAGAAGGCACGCUGACACGUAGGUGAAGUGAUUUACUCAUGGAGCUGAAGUCAGUCGAAGAUACCAGCUGGCUGCAACUGUUUAUUAAAAACACAGCACUGUGCAAACACGAAAGUGGACGUAUACGGUGUGACGCCUGCCCGGUGCCGGAAGGUUAAUUGAUGGGGUCAGCGCAAGCGAAGCUCCUGAUCGAAGCCCCGGUAAACGGCGGCCGUAACUAUAACGGUCCUAAGGUAGCGAAAUUCCUUGUCGGGUAAGUUCCGACCUGCACGAAUGGCGUAAUGAUGGCCAGGCUGUCUCCACCCGAGACUCAGUGAAAUUGAACUCGCUGUGAAGAUGCAGUGUACCCGCGGCAAGACGGAAAGACCCCGUGAACCUUUACUAUAGCUUGACACUGAACAUUGAGCCUUGAUGUGUAGGAUAGGUGGGAGGCUUUGAAGUGUGGACGCCAGUCUGCAUGGAGCCGACCUUGAAAUACCACCCUUUAAUGUUUGAUGUUCUAACGUGGACCCGUAAUCCGGGUUGCGGACAGUGUCUGGUGGGUAGUUUGACUGGGGCGGUCUCCUCCUAAAGAGUAACGGAGGAGCACGAAGGUUGGCUAAUCCUGGUCGGACAUCAGGAGGUUAGUGCAAUGGCAUAAGCCAGCUUGACUGCGAGCGUGACGGCGCGAGCAGGUGCGAAAGCAGGUCAUAGUGAUCCGGUGGUUCUGAAUGGAAGGGCCAUCGCUCAACGGAUAAAAGGUACUCCGGGGAUAACAGGCUGAUACCGCCCAAGAGUUCAUAUCGACGGCGGUGUUUGGCACCUCGAUGUCGGCUCAUCACAUCCUGGGGCUGAAGUAGGUCCCAAGGGUAUGGCUGUUCGCCAUUUAAAGUGGUACGCGAGCUGGGUUUAGAACGUCGUGAGACAGUUCGGUCCCUAUCUGCCGUGGGCGCUGGAGAACUGAGGGGGGCUGCUCCUAGUACGAGAGGACCGGAGUGGACGCAUCACUGGUGUUCGGGUUGUCAUGCCAAUGGCACUGCCCGGUAGCUAAAUGCGGAAGAGAUAAGUGCUGAAAGCAUCUAAGCACGAAACUUGCCCCGAGAUGAGUUCUCCCUGAGACUU
rnacentral:rRNA from 1 species